UCUCGCUUCCCUUUCUCCUCCCAUUUCUCUUGCAGGCCUCUGUCCUCCUCGACCCACGGAAUAACUAAGUCCUGCUGGACGGGACAGUCUCUUGCCUUUCUGAAAGUAAGUAGAGACAUGGUCAUAAAGGGUAAGCAUAGUUGGAAUGACAAUACAAAAAUGUAUGAACGAUUCUUUGAAAUGUUCCCAUUUGUUAUUAGCUUAUAAUUUGUAAAUAAUUUUUCAGGGACUAUAUUAUCACAAAAUUAUACAAAAAAUUUUGCAGGUAUAUGUACAGAAAGCAUCAGAAAACAGACUUUGAACUCACAAGAACAUAAUAUACAUAUAUAUUCCCAUGUUCUGAAAAAUAUGGUCAGAAAUAACUCCACAGAAAAUAUACUUAUGUUACUAGUAAAGAUCGUUCUUGAAAUGUGCAAGUUGAGAUUUAAAUGGUAUAUUUUCAAUGACAGAGCUGUAUAAUUGCAAAGAUAGUAGGGGUACACGUCACCAUAGGAGUUGGCCUAUUGUAUUAUGGAGGGUUUAUUUGUUUGUUUGGUUGGUUUUGUUUUUUGUUUUUUGAGGUUUUUUGGUUUUUGUUUGUUUUUUGUUUGUUUGUUUGUGUUUUUCGAGACAGGGUUUCUCUGCAUAGCUCUGGCUGUCCUGGAACUCACUUUGUAGACCAGACUGGCCUCAAACUGAACUCAGAAAUCUGCCUGCCUCUGCCUCCCGAGUGCUGGGAUUAAAGGCGUGCACCACCACACCCGGCGUAUUAUGGAGUUUUAUGUGUGGUUUUUGAAAUUGUUAAGGCAAGAUGUGUCAUAUGUUUUAGAAUUAAAUAACAGAGAACUGAUUUCAAAAACUUGUUUUAAAAAAUAAAUUGUAAGAGGUGGCUAGCAAAAGGAAUAAUAAAAGCUCAAAAAUUUUCAGGACCAAAUUUAAACUGUUAAAAUACAAUAAAGUCACAUCU
rnacentral:lncRNA from 1 species